rnacentral:lncRNA from 1 species
GGCGGCACCUUCGGCGGCCGAAAGUCUCGGACAGAGCCGAAACUCCAACUUUCGGGGGCAAGCUUUGGCAGCCUAAAGCUGCCUCUCAAGCCAUGUUCGGCGGCCGAAACUCCCUUCGGCUGCCGAACCUGGUUUCUGCCAAAGGGCAGAAACUUGGCUCCCUUAAGCAUUUUUGCCUUCAAACUCAUCAAUCAUGCAUAAACUUGUUCUAAAACAUGCAUAAACACCAUACAUCACACCUAGGGGUCUCAAACUAUCAAAUACCCCAACUACAACACUUCAACACACACAAACAACAUACAUUGUUCAUCAAAACAUCAAAACCCAUAAACUCAUCAACAAGCCUAAACAUGCAUCUCUACCCAUAAAACAACUUAAAACUUACUUAAAACAUAUAAGGAGCUUAAGAUCGGCUCUUACCUCUUGAAGAUCGAGAGGGAGACGACCUAAACUUGGAGAUCCACGAAAAUGAGCUCCUGAGUUCCCAAAGCUCCAAAACUUGGUUUAAAUGCUCAAAACUUGCAAUGUGAGUUUAAAACUCAAGGAAAAUGGAAGAGAUUUGGAGGAAGAAUACAAGAUUUGCAAAGGGAAGGUCGGAAGCUUGCUGUGGCCGAAAAUGGGAGAAAGCUCGCCCAUUUCGGCUAAGUGCCCCUUUUAUAGGUGGCUGGCCAGGCCACGUUCGGGGGCCGAAUGUGCCUCCGCAUCCAUGCAAUGUUCGGCGGCCGAACUUGACUUUCGGCGGCCGAACCUGGACUUCCCUAACUCAUGCUUUCGGGGGCCUAACGUGCCUCCAAAACGCAUGCAUGUUCGGCGGCCGAACUUGACUUUCGGCGGCCGAACCUGGGUUUUCCUCCAAAGACUUCUCAUGAAAAACUCA